AGGCCGUAGAGCUGUUAAAGCCAGGGGCUCGGAUAUCCGAACACGGCGAAUUUAGAAGAGGCGCUCAGAGAGCGGGGAGCCCAAGACGGCGGAGCAGAAUAGAGGGGAAGGAUGGGAUCGGGCCGGCAGCGGACGAACGCAUGACCAAAUAUGGUCAUUUGGGAAGAGACGCCCAGAGAGAGGGGAGCCCGAGACGGCGGCGCAGAAGAGAGUGGAAGGUCGGGAUCGGGCCGGCAGCGGACCAACGCAUGCCCAAAUAUGGCCAUGCAAUCGGGGUCCAGUUACGAAGAAGGGAGAAAGCAUCAGAAUCGCCGAUGGAAAAACACUGACCGCGUGUUAGAACCGUUAGCCGGCGCCUAUAUAAGGAGGGUGGCCGCCAAGCGAAAGAAAAGCUUCACGCGUGAGCAGCCCAAGAGCUAGGCCGAGUGUUCGGGUGAAUAAGUGGAUCGAAGUGCAUAAUAGCGGAAAUCGUAACGGGACCCGCGACAUCGAAUGCCCAGAGUGAGUCUUGCAUAAUCAGAGUGAACUACAGAUUUUCGGACGAGGUUAAGGUAGAGAAAGG
rnacentral:lncRNA from 1 species